UGGACUGUCGCCAAGUGGUAAGGCAAGGGACUUUGACUCCCUCAUCCCGUGGGUUCAAAUCCCGCCAGUCCAACCA
rnacentral:tRNA from 1 species